rnacentral:rRNA from 1 species
UACGUAGGGUGCGAGCGUUGUCCGGAAUUAUUGGGCGUAAAGAGCUCGUAGGCGGUUUGUCACGUCGGCUGUGAAAACCCGAGGCUCAACCUCGGGCCUGCAGUCGAUACGGGCAGGCUAGAGUAUGGCAGGGGAGACUGGAAUUCCUGGUGUAGCGGUGAAAUGCGCAGAUAUCAGGAGGAACACCGGUGGCGAAGGCGGGUCUCUGGGCCAUAACUGACGCUGAGGAGCGAAAGCGUGGGGAGCGAACAGG